CGCUCAGGAGGGCCCCUCGACACGGCGGUCGGAUCGCUGCCCUCCUCUGUUUCGACUAGAUCUUGGCUGUGGAAGGAGGCACGAGAGGUGACCAAGAUGCGCUCUACUGGCCUCGUCUAGGCACCUCGAAGCUCCUCCGUCGGCUCGUCUUCAAAUUCUCACGUGUUGCCUCGUCGCCGCGCAACCAGACGCACUGCCAUCCUACUCGUCUUCGCACACGCCGCUCGUCUUCACAGGCUCAUCUCCAAUUUGUGUGGUUAUGUUAUGUGUCCCCAUGUCUCAUGCUGCUGUCAGGGACCAUUGUAGAUGGAUUAUCUGGAUCAUUGCCCAACAUUGGACAAUAAUAAUAUUUCCCCUUCAUACAGUGGAUUAGUUUCAUUUGUGUGAGUGUUAAUAUUCUUGUUUAUUCAGUCUAGCUAAUGCCGAGGAAGCUUCAUAUUUGUGCAUAACAACUUGACUGUAAACUAAAGAAUUGGACAUGAGCUGGGAUUCUGAUACAGUUUGCCUUUUAGGUUAAGGUUUGUUGUGCAACUUGGUCUAAUAUUUGUUCUUUCGCCUGCAGUUAUUACCAACAAUGAAUGCAUCUUCUAUGAGAAUUAUCU